GCAGAUGUUUUUGUUUCUUGUAAGGUUUGGCCACCAUGUCGUCUUUGCCACCAACCACAGAGGACAGCCCAACUACAAUGACCCCCAAUGGAGGAACCUUUCAAGGUUGGAAUUAUCAUAGAAUUACUUUAAUUUAGAUAACUUGGAUUAAGUAAUAUUCUUGUCACAUAAGAAAAUACUAGUAAGCAUUUCAGUUGCUCAAAGUGAGUUUUAUUUUCUUGCGCUGAUGCAUUUCCAUUUGAAAUGCUAAGUUUGUCAUGUCAUAAGCAUGAGUCUUGUAUUUGGAUUGAACAAAAAUGUAUAUUCACCCUUAGUCAUCGAGUCUUUAACACUAAAGGAAAAGACUUGUAUAUCUGCUAAAAUAUAAUUAUUAAUUCAAUAAUCCUUUAAAUAAUUUUUUGUAAGGCCAAUUUGAGUUUUUCUUAUUCUAGCACUCUCUAAUCUAAACUGAUCAUUGCGAUAUCAUAAUCAUUUAAACAUCCAUUUCAGUGAAUUUGUCCACUGUGUCAACAACGAAUACAACAACAUGUGAGUUGCCUUGAUUGAUUGGUAUUACUUAACAACUAGGCUAUAUCCUCUCAACCAACAUAAUUCUAAUUCAUUUUGUACACAUACCUCAUAUUAUUACAUCUGUAUUAUAAUCAUCCAUUUAACAAUAAUUUGCCCAUUAAUAAUAUGUUUAACACGUAGUGUAACUCUUGUUCUGUGGGUUUAAUAGCUUUGGCUGUAACAUCCAGUACUGAAAUCAUAACAGAUUCAUUAACCAGUAAGUGCUUCAUUCCUUCUCAUGAUUUUUUUCUACUAAUCAAACAUUUUGAUUGGUUGGGUUUAAAUCAACUCAUCUAAAUUUGUUGUGUUACUACAGAUAUGUCCAGUCUAAGUACCCAUGACAGCCAUAGUUUAAUAGAUCCUGCAAAUGGUGAGACCUCAUCUCCGGCUCAUUUCAUCUCAGCAUCCUUGGACUCGAGUACGCUGACUCAUACUACAGAACAUGCAUCAAUUUUCCGCUUGAUGACUGAAGGUCCUGAAAUCAAAAAGUACUCAAAAACAAAAAUGUUUUUCUUGAUUGCUGUGGUUGCAAGUGGUGGAGGAAUUGUACUGACUGGACUCAUAAGCAUCUGUUUGUACAGAUGUACACGUAAGUGUAUAAAUGGACAUGUCUUACAUAUGGCUUAUAGUUUUAACAUUCUAAUUGAACAAAUAAAUGCACAGCUUGACAGUUUGAUGUUUCUUUCAUCACAGGGAAGUCAAAGGCAGAGAGGAUUUGGAGCGAAUUCAUCAGCCAAAAACAGGGUACGUUUUUACUCCCCCCUCCCCAUUUAAGCCAUUUCUUACUCAAAACAUAAGUUCAGGCCAAGGUUUGCUGAAAUGUCAGUCUGCAUUGUAGGACUUUCUUUAGCAACAGCCAGUUCAGACACAGUAAGUAAUAUAAUUUUACAUUUGUUAGAGCAGCUAAUUGAUCAUUUUAAUAUUUCCCGCUGUUUAAUAUAUCAUUCUUUGUUAUUUAGACUGGAGAGGAAGUUGCAGCAAUUUAUUCAACCAUCAACGACAUGCAACCCCCUUCACAACCACCAGGUAUAUUUGAUAAAACUAUAUCUUCAACUUAGUCUGAACUCUAUCAUGGUCAUUAUUUGAUAUCUGAUGUGUCAUGUUAUGCAGGAAAGAGUGAAGAAUCAAUGACAACUGAGGUGAGUAAGGCAGUUGGUUACACAUUACACAAUAUUUAUGUUUAUGUCAUUUUAAGAUUUCAUUUUCCUCUAGGUUGAACUGAAUCAUUUGUAUUCCACCAUCCUCACCAAACCGGCCAUCUCCAGUGACAGCAGGGGUGUUUACAGUCAGCCAAAGGUCCGCUGAAAGAAUAAAACUCUGCCUGCUACUGUUUUAAUGCA
ensembl:lncRNA